rnacentral:rRNA from 1 species
GAUGAACGCUGGCGGCGUGCCUAAUACAUGCAAGUCGAGCGAGAAUCUGAUGAACUGAGAUUCGUCGAAGUGAAUCAGAGGAAAGCGGCGGACGGGUGAGUAACGCGUAGGCAACCUGCCCUUAGCAGAGGGAUAGCCAUUGGAAACGAUGAUUAAAACCUCAUAAUGCUGAGCUGACACAUGUCAGCUUUGCCAAAGAUUUAUCGGCUAAGGAUGGGCCUGCGUCUGAUUAACUAGUUGGUGGGGUAACGGCUCACCAAGGUGACGAUCAGUAGCCGACCUGAGAGGGUGAUCGGCCACAUUGGAACUGAGACACGGUCCAAACUUC